CUUCUAUAUGGACAGUUUAAAUGGGAAGGAAUGUCCCACUAUUAAGGUGCCGACAUAUACUAUUUUCUCUCUCGUCCCAGAUACCUGGUUCACGUUGCGCAUGCUUGAGAAUUCCCCAUGAUAUUAAUAGAGGGGGAAGAAUGAGGGGAAUAAUUUUGUGGUUAUGAUUCUGUUUACAAAUAUAUUUAUUAUUGUAAUUCAGAAAAACAAUUAUAAAUUUUAAAAAACUUUUGUUUUUAUUUAAAUAAUAUUCUUUUUCCAACAAUCAGUUAUUGAAAAAUGGUGAAGUUGUGUUAUUUAUGUGAUAUAAAAGCGUCGAGAGCUGACAAUAUUUCUUUGCAUCAUGGCUAAAUGCUUGUGGAUUAACUGAAAAUGAUGAUGUAAAAAGAACUUGCAUAUGUUCCAGACAUUUCAAAGCUGAUGAUAUUUGUCAAUAAAAAAUUUUUGGAGUUGUUAAAUCUUCUAUAAAACGUAAUGCAGUUCCUACACUUUAUUUAAAAAAUCCACUCAGUAUUGAUAAAACUAGUAAAUUACCACCAAACACGCCGCUAUCGGAAGUAUUUGAUGAGAAUGGAGUCAGCAAUCAAUCGUCAUCAUGUUUUUCUGAGAAUAAUAUUGUCAACCAAUAUAAUGUACUCAAUACUUUGCAAAAAAGUCCAAAAAAAUGUUUUGAAGUAGACAAUACUGAAUGUCAAACCUCAAAUAAUAGUAGCAUUAAUUUUUGAGCCUCUUGUAACCAAUCUGAUUUAAAUGAAUUUACAGAAAAUGCAAAAUCAAAUCCUAUCAGCGAAGACGAAAAUACUGUUCCACAUGAAAUUGAUUCCCCAAAUCAAUUUCGAAAGUGUAAAUUUUACGAGCCUCGUCAUGUUAGUGAAAUUUCAAUAUCAGAUUUUGCGACGCCUAAAAGAAGUAAAAGAACCCUUUCUUUAAUAAAAGAGACUGAUAAAAAAAAAUCGGAUAAAAUAAAGCAGCUACAGAAGUAAACGAGGAACUUCGAGAAAAAAAUUUCAUCUUUGCAAGAUUUAAUAAAUCAUCUUAAGGAAAACCGUAUGUUAACUGAUGAGAGUGGUGAUGCUCUAAUGGUAUAGUAUAUUCUAACUAAUAUAAAUUGUAUAAUUAUAAAAUUGUAAAUAUUUUACACAAAUGUUAUGGAUCACGAAUUUUACUAAUAAUUUAGUUUAUUGAUGUUUUAUGAUAAGGUAUUUAUCAUCAAAUAUUUGUAGCAAUUGUACAUAUUUACUUUAUUUUUCUUUUCUCAGCGGAUUUCGGUAUAAAAAUUUUAACUAAUAUUAAAUAUUUCGCUUAUCAAU